rnacentral:lncRNA from 1 species
GUCUAUAACUUAUAAGUAGCAUAUUGUGUCUCAGAUAGUGUGAACAAGAACCAAUGUAGUCAAUUAAGUAGAACUUCUAGCUGCGUGUGAUGGAACAAACCUACAAUUCCAGAAACUUGGGAGGCCAGAAAGGAGGUAGCUCAGUGGUAAAGUGUAUUGGGUUCAAUCCCCAGUACCUAAAAAAGUAAAGUUUUACACUUUUCUUCUUCCUUUCUUUUCUUUGGAAGUGUUGGAGCUUGAACCCACAUUCUCAUGCAUCCUAGGUAAGUGCUCAACCACUGAGUUAUACCCCCAGCCCAAAACACAAUCUUAAAAAAAAUUUAGGGGAAAAUGAACUUUCUAAGGGUUAUUUGAUUCAAAGCAGAUAUCAUAUCAGCAACAAAUAAAAAAGGGAAAACAAAAUAUUAUCUUGUGGAAAAGGAAAACACCUGUCAUAUGUAAAGUAUGCAAUUCUAUCAGUCAUUCAGGAAUGAAGGUGAAAUAAAGCCAUGUUCAGAAAACACACGAGAUAUUAGAAUUUGAAUUUUAGGAGACUCUUAAGUGAGUAAAUUGAGUUUAGAAUCAGAGUAUGUUUUCUCUGAUGAUGAAAUAUUUGAGCUUAGAAAUUGUUUGUAUCUUAUUAAGCUUGGUAUCUUCUAAAGUCCUUAAUAAAUUCAGAAUGAAUGGAGAAAUGAAAGAAUGUAUGCCUAAAAAAAAUAAAUGGAUAGCUAAAUGCUAAAACUACAUGCCACAUAGUCAGUAGUAUGAUUCCUUAUGAUGGAUUUAUUUUUAAUGGGAUGAUUUUUCAAUCCAUUUUUAUCAUUUUUUUUUUUCAUUUCUGCCUUUAUUUCUAG